CUAUUUCAUAUGAGGUAUUCAUUUGUUCUAUGUGCAGAAAAUUUUCCGGUGCUGGAUUUAAUUUUGUUCAGUAAUGCCAUCCAUUUUCAGGGUUGGUGUGACGGCCGCUAGAGAA
rnacentral:sRNA from 1 species